GGGAUCACACAAGCGGUGGAGCAUGUUGUUUAAUUCGAAGCAACGCGAAGAACCUUACCAGGCCUUGACAUGUACGGAUUAGCUCCCUGAAAGGGGAGUGACAGCUCUUCGGAGUCGGAACGUACACAGGUGUUGCAUGGCUGUCGUCAGCUCGUGCCGUGAGGUGUUGGGUUAAGUCCGGCAACGAGCGCAACCCACAUCCCUAGUUGCCAGCAGUUCGGCUGGGCACUCUAUGGAAACUGCCCGUGAUAAGCGGGAGGAAGGUGUGGAUGACGUCAAGUCCUCAUGGCCCUUACGGGUUGGGCUACACACGUGCUACAAUGGUAGUGACAAUGGGUUAAUCCCAAAAAGCUAUCUCAGUUCGGAUUGUCGUCUGCAACUCGACGGCAUG
rnacentral:rRNA from 1 species